rnacentral:rRNA from 1 species
UAGGGAAUCUUCGGCAAUGGACGAAAGUCUGACCGAGCAACGCCGCGUGAGUGAAGAAGGUUUUCGGAUCGUAAAACUCUGUUGUUAGAGAAGAACAAGGACGUUAGUAACUGAACGUCCCCUGACGGUAUCUAACCAGAAAGCCACGGCUAACUACGUGCCAGCAGCCGCGGUAAUACGUAGGUGGCAAGCGUUGUCCGGAUUUAUUGGGCGUAAAGCGAGCGCAGGCGGUUUCUUAAGUCUGAUGUGAAAGCCCCCGGCUCAACCGGGGGGGGUCAUUGGAAACUGGGAGACUUGAGUGCAGAAGAGGAGAGUGGAAUUCCAUGUGUAGCGGUGAAAUGCGUAGAUAUAUGGAGGAACACCAGUGGCGAAGGCGGCUCUCUGGUCUGUAUCUGACGCUGAGGCUCGAAAGCGUGGGGAGCAAACAGG